UACAAAGGGGCCAAGCGUUGUUCGGAAUUACUGGGCGUAAAGCGCACGUAGGUGGCUUUAUAAGUCAGGGGUGAAAUCCCGGGGCUCAACCUCGGAAUUGCCUUGGAUACUCUCUAGCUUGAGUCCGGGAGAGGUGAGUGGAAUUCCUGGUGUAGAGGUGAAAUUCGUAGAUAUCAGGAAGAACACCAGUGGCGAAGGCGGGUCACUGGCCCGGUACUGACGCUCAGGUGCGAAAGCGAGGGGAGCAAACAGG
rnacentral:rRNA from 1 species